rnacentral:rRNA from 1 species
AUUGAACGCUGGCGGCAGGCCUAACACAUGCAAGUCGAGCGGCAGCGGGAAAGUAGCUUGCUACUUUUGCCGGCGAGCGGCGGACGGGUGAGUAAUGCCUGGGAAAUUGCCCAGUCGAGGGGGAUAACAGUUGGAAACGACUGCUAAUACCGCAUACGCCCUACGGGGGAAAGCAGGGGACCUUCGGGCCUUGCGCGAUUGGAUAUGCCCAGGUGGGAUUAGCUAGUUGGUGAGGUAAUGGCUCACCAAGGCGAAGAUCCCUAGCUGGUCUGAGAGGAUGAUCAGCCACACUGGAACUGAGACACGGUCCAGACUCCUACGGGAGGCAGCAGUGGGGAAUAUUGCACAAUGGGGGAAACCCUGAUGCAGCCAUGCCGCGUGUGUGAAGAAGGCCUUCGGGUUGUAAAGCACUUUCAGCGAGGAGGAAAGGUUGUUGGCUAAUAUCCAACAGCUGUGGCGUUACUCGCAGAAGAAGCACCGGCUAACUCCGUGCCAGCCGCCGCCGUAACAC